rnacentral:rRNA from 1 species
GACGAACGCUGGCGGCGUGCUUAACACAUGCAAGUCGAACGCUGGAGCUUGGUGCUUGCACUGGGUGGAUGAGUGGCGAACGGGUGAGUAAUACGUGAGUAACCUGCCCUUGACUCUGGGAUAAGCCUGGGAAACUGGGUCUAAUACUGGAUAUGACAUGCCACUGCAUGGUGGUGUGUGGAAAGGGUUUUUCUGGUUUUGGAUGGGCUCACGGCCUAUCAGCUUGGUGGUGGGGUAAUGGCCUACCAAGCCGACGACGGGUAGCCGGCCUGAGAGGGUGACCGGCCACACUGGGACUGCGAGACGGCCCAGACUCCUACGGGAGGCAGCAGUGGGGAAUAUUGCACAGUGGGCGGAAGCGUGAUGCAGCGACGCCGCGUGAGGGAUGCCGGCCUUCGGGGUGUAAACCUCUUUCAGCACGGAAGAAGCGAGAGUGACGGUACGUGCAGAAGAAGCGCCGGCUAACUACGUG